UUUUCGACUCAUCAGAAAUAUCCGAAAGUGUUAACUUCUGCGUCAUGGAAGCGAUAAAACUCUGCAGGUUGGAUACGCCAAUCAUUUUUAUCGAAGCGCGCAUAAAUUUGAGCAGAUUUGUCGUCACAGGUUGCGCCGCCAAAACGUCGGCUACAGUAACUUUUCCCAGCCUCAAUCUCAUCUCUCUUUUUGCGUUCUGCUUCAAUAUCUGGUUGAACGGCGUCGCGUCGUAACCCAGCUUGGUAAGUUGGAUUAAGCACUCCGUGGACAGAUUUGUCAUUGUGAGCAUUUUCAUCCCGAAGUUGCGGCUCAUUCUGAUUCUGAACA
rnacentral:rRNA from 1 species